AAGGGAGACCUAAUUCAGGUAUGGGACGAAAAAAAAAGUAGUCGCUACCAAGAAUCAAUCCCAAAAGGUCGGAGCGAGGUAUGAGGCUUUCAAACUAGGUUCUGGGUUCAAACAAGACCUGAAUCAGGAACAAGGGCUAUUAGCUCAGGUGGUUAGAGCGCACCCCUGAUAAGGGUGAGGUCCCUGGUUCGAGUCCAGGAUGGCCCACCUGCACAGGUGGCAAAAACAAGAGAAGCGAGGAAUCAGCACCUUAUCUUAUCUAUAUAUAAGAGAGAAUGCUGGCUCUGAGUAAAGAGUCCAGAGGAACCUUGAAAACUGCAUAGAGCUAGGUGAAAAAGCCAAAAAAGAAGACCGCAA
rnacentral:tRNA from 1 species